AUUGAACGCUGGCGGCGGGCCUAACACAUGCAAGUCGAACGCGUGGCGGACGGGUGAGUAAUGUCUGGGAAACUGCCUUAUGGAGGGGGAUAACUACUGGAAACGGUAGCUAAUACCGCAUACCAUCAGAUGUGCCCAGAUGGGAUUAGCUUGUUGGUGGGGUAACGGCUCACCAAGGCCACGAUCCCUAGCUGGUCUGAGAGGAUGAUCAGCCACACUGGAACUGAGACACGGCCCAGACUCCUACGGGAGGCAGCAGUAGGGAAUAUUGCACAAUGGGCGCAAGCCUGAUGCAGCCAUGCCGCGUGUAUGAAGAAGGUCUUCGGGUCGUAAAGUACUUUUAGCGGGGAGGCGUUACCCUCAGAAGAAGCACCGGCUAACUCCGUGCCAGCAGCCGCGGUAAUUC
rnacentral:rRNA from 1 species